GACGAACGCUGGCGGCGUGCUUAACACAUGCAAGUCGAACGGAAAGGCCCUGCUUUUGUGGGGUGCUCGAGUGGCGAACGGGUGAGUAACACGUGAGUAACCUGCCCUUGACUUUGGGAUAACUUCAGGAAACUGGGGCUAAUGCCGGAUAGGGGCUCCUGCUGCAUGGUGGGGGUUGGAAAGUUUCGGCGGUUGGGGAUGUACUCGCGGCUUAUCAGCUUUUUGGUGGGGUAGUGGAUUACCAAGGCUUUGACGGGUAGCCGGCAUGAGAGGGUGACCGGCCACAUUGGGACUGAGAUACGGCCCAGACUCCUACGGGAGGCAGCAGUGGGGAAUAUUGCACAAUGGGCGGAAGCCUGAUGCAGCAACGCCGCGUGCGGGAUGACGGCCUUCGGGUUGUAAACCGCUUUCGCCUGUGACGAAGCGUGAGUGACGGUAAUGGGUAAAGAAGCACCGGCUAACUACGUG
rnacentral:rRNA from 1 species